rnacentral:ribozyme from 1 species
GGCCGGUGAAAUCCUCUCCCAACCUCCACGUGGUGCCGGCUGGAAUAUGCAGACUUGUGCAUAUACCGAUAGGGAAGG